UACGUAGGGUGCGAGCGUUUGUCCGGAUUUAUUGGGCGUAAAGGGCUCGUAGGCGGCGUGUCGCGUCGGGAGUGAAAGACCGGGGCUUAACCCCGGUUCUGCUUCCGGUACGGGCAUGCUGGAGUGUGGCAGGGGAGACUGGAAGUUCCUGGUGUAGCGGUGGAAUGCGCAGAUAUCAGGAGGAACACCGGUGGCGAAGGCGGGCCUCUGGGCCAUUACUGACGCUGAGGAGCGAAAGCGUGGGGAGCGAACAGG
rnacentral:rRNA from 1 species